rnacentral:rRNA from 1 species
CCUACGGGAGUCAUCCCCGGGGAAUAUUGGACAAUGGGGGGAACCCUGAUCCAGCCAUGCCGCGUGUGUGAAGAAGGCCCUCGGGUUGUAAAGCACUUUCAGUGAGGAAGAACGCCUGGUGGUUAAUACCCAUCAGGAAAGACAUCACUCACAGAAGAAGCACCGGCUAACUCCGUGCCAGCAGCCGCGGUAAUACGGAGGGUGCGAGCGUUAAUCGGAAUUACUGGGCGUAAAGCGCGCGUAGGUGGCUUGAUAAGCCGGUUGUGAAAGCCCCGGGCUCAACCUGGGAACGGCAUCCGGAACUGUCAAGCUAGAGUGCAGGAGAGGAAGGUAGAAUUCCCGGUGUAGCGGUGAAAUGCGUAGAGAUCGGGAGGAAUACCAGUGGCGAAGGCGGCCUUCUGGACUGACACUGACACUGAGGUGCGAAAGCGUGGGUAGCAAACAGGAUUAGAUACCCUUGUAGUC